CGACCAGACUCCUACGGGAGGCAGCAGUGGGGGAUAUUGCACAAUGGGGGAAACCCUGAUGCAGCGACGCCGCGUGAGUGAAGAGGUAUUUCGGUAUGUAAAGCUCUAUCAGCAGGGAAGAAGAAAGACGGUACCUGACUAAGAAGCCCCGGCUAACUACGUGCCAGCAGCCGCGGUAAUACGUAGGGGCAAGCGUUAUCCGGAUUCACUGGGUGUAAAGGGAGCGUAGACGGCCAUGCAAGCCUGGAGUGAAAGCCCGGGGCCCAACCCCGGGACUGCUCUGGGAACUGUGCGGCUGGAGUGCGGGAGGGGCAGGCGGAAUUCCUAGUGUAGCGGUGAAAUGCGUAGAUAUUAGGAGGAACACCAGUGGCGAAGGCGGCCUGCUGGACGAUGACUGACGUUGAGGCUCGAAAGCGUGGGGAGCAAACAGGAUUAGAUACCCUAGUA
rnacentral:rRNA from 1 species